rnacentral:lncRNA from 1 species
GUUUAUUUUUUCUUAUGUGUUAUUAAUAUAUAAUGCAUGGUUUUUUCUUGAUGGGAACACAUAUUUUUGUCUUUGAUGCUUGCAGAGCGUCUUCAUAGUCAGAUCCUAGCAACAUGCCCCUCUACACAAAGGUGGAAUUAGCAAAGAUAUUUUUUUAAGAUGGAACGUUUCGAUUUAACGGUAUUAAUUUGAGUUAGUUUUCAUUUAAAUCCGCCGCAUUGGUGACAUGUACGCUUUUUUUAUCUUUAAUUUGGUCUAACUUUCGAUGUAAAUUUGGCUUGGUAGCCACAUAUGCACGUUUCGAGUUGAU